rnacentral:rRNA from 1 species
ACUCAAAUGAAUUGACGGGGGCCCGCACAAGCAGCGGAGCAUGUUCUUUAAUUCGACGCAACGCGAAGAACCUUACCAGGGCUUGACAUGCACGGGAAUGUCAUAGAGAUAUGGCAGCCCUUCGGGGCUCGUGCACAGGUGUUGCAUGGCCGUCGUCAGCUCGUGUCGUGAGAUGUUGGGUUAAGUCCCGCAACGAGCGCAACCCCUGUCCUUAGUUGCCAGCGAGUAAUGUCGGGGACUCUAGGGAGACUGCCGGCGACAAGUCGGAGGAAGGUGGGGAUGAUGUCAGGUCAGCAUGACCCUUAUGUCCUGGGCUAGAAACGUGCUACAUUGGCCGGCACAAAGGGCUGCAAACCCGCGAGGGGGAGCGAAUCCCAAAAAACCGGUCCCGGUUCGGAUUGGAGGCUGAAACUCGCCUCCAUGAAGGCGGAGUUGCUAGUAAUCGCGGAUCAGCAACGCCGCGGUGAAUACGUUCUCGGGCCUUGUACACACCGCCCGU